rnacentral:lncRNA from 1 species
UUAUUAAGGUCUUUCCUUUCUUAAAUGGAAAGACCUUACUGUAUUUCGUUUGUUUAUUAUUAUUAUUAUUCUUUUUCCUCGUCCGUUUUUAAAGUCAAAAAUCAAGAAAAGUACGCAACAUAUCCAAAUGAUCUUUGGUAUCAUGUAUCAGGGGUAUAAUAUCUAUCUUGUAUUAGAAUAACCAAGGUUUACUGUUUACCUUAUAGGAGUUAUCUCCCCAAUUACAAAAAACACUGUUAUCGCUACUCCUCAUGAACUAUAAGACUUAGCGGCAAAUAGUUUUUUUUUAAA